AUUGAACGCUGGCGGCAGGCCUAACACAUGCAAGUCGAGCGGUAACAUUUCUAGCUUGCUAGAAGAUGACGAGCGGCGGACGGGUGAGUAACGCGUAGAAAUCUACCUAGUAGUGGGGGAUAGCCCAGAGAAAUUUGGAUUAAUACCGCAUACGCCCUACGGGGGAAAGCAGGGGAUCUUCGGACCUUGCGCUAUUAGAUGAGCCUGCGUCGGAUUAGCUUGUUGGUGGGGUAAAGGCCUACCAAGGCGACGAUCCGUAGCUGGUUUGAGAGGACGAUCAGCCACACUGGGACUGAGACACGGCCCAGACUCCUACGGGAGGCAGCAGUGGGGAAUAUUGGACAAUGGGCGCAAGCCUGAUGCAGCCAUGCCGCGUGUGUGAAGAAGGCCUUAGGGUUGUAAAGCACUUUCAGCAGUGAGGAAAGGGGUGUCGUUAAUAGCGCCAUCCUGUGACGUUAACUGCAGAAGAAGGACCGGCUAACUCCGUG
rnacentral:rRNA from 1 species